GUGGGGAAUAUUGGACAAUGGGCGCAAGCCUGAUCCAGCCAUGCCGCGUGAGUGAUGAAGGCCUUAGGGUUGUAAAGCUCUUUCACCGAUGAAGAUAAUGACGGUAGUCGGAGAAGAAGCCCCGGCUAACUUCGUGCCAGCAGCCGCGGUAAUACGAAGGGGGCUAGCGUUGUUCGGAAUUACUGGGCGUAAAGCGCACGUAGGCGGAUAUUUAAGUCAGGGGUGAAAUCCCAGAGCUCAACUCUGGAACUGCCUUUGAUACUGGGUAUCUCGAGUAUGGAAGAGGUGAGUGGAAUUCCGAGUGUAGAGGUGAAAUUCGUAGAUAUUCGGAGGAACACCAGUGGCGAAGGCGGCUCACUGGUCCAUUACUGACGCUGAGGUGCGAAAGCGUGGGGAGCAAACAGGAUUAGAAACCCUGGUAGUCC
rnacentral:rRNA from 1 species